rnacentral:rRNA from 1 species
AGAGUUUGAUCAUGGCUCAGAUUGAACGCUGGCGGCAGGCCUAACACAUGCAAGUCGAACGGUAACAGGAAGCAGCUUGCUGCUUUGCUGACGAGUGGCGGACGGGUGAGUAAUGUCUGGGAAACUGCCUGAUGGAGGGGGAUAACUACUGGAAACGGUGGCUAAUACCGCAUAACGUCGCAAGACCAAAGAGGGGGACCUUCGGGCCUCUUGCCAUCAGAUGUGCCCAGAUGGGAUUAGCUUGUUGGUGAGGUAACGGCUCACCAAGGCGACGAUCCCUAGCUGGUCUGAGAGGAUGACCAGCCACACUGGAACUGAGACACGGUCCAGACUCCUACGGGAGGCAGCAGUGGGGAAUAUUGCACAAUGGGCGCAAGCCUGAUGCAGCCAUGCCGCGUGUAUGAAGAAGGCCUUCGGGUUGUAAAGUACUUUCAGCGGGGAGGAAGGUGUUGCGGUUAAUAACCGCAGCAAUUGACGUUACCCGCAGAAGAAGCACCGGCUAACUCCGUGCCAGCAGCCGCGGUAAUACGGAGGGUGCAAGCGUUAAUCGGAAUUACUGGGCGUAAAGCGCACGCAGGCGGUCUGUCAAGUCGGAUGUGAAAUCCCCGGGCUCAACCUGGGAACUGCAUUCGAAACUGGCAGGCUUGAGUCUUGUAGAGGGGGGUAGAAUUCCAGGUGUAGCGGUGAAAUGCGUAGAGAUCUGGAGGAAUACCGGUGGCGAAGGCGGCCCCCUGGACAAAGACUGACGCUCAGGUGCGAAAGCGUGGGGAGCAAACAGGAUUAGAUACCCUGGUAGUCCACGCCGUAAACGAUGUCUACUUGGAGGUUGUGCCCUUGAGGCGUGGCUUCCGGAGCUAACGCGUUAAGUAGACCGCCUGGGGAGUACGGCCGCAAGGUUAAAACUCAAAUGAAUUGACGGGGGCCCGCACAAGCGGUGGAGCAUGUGGUUUAAUUCGAUGCAACGCGAAGAACCUUACCUGGUCUUGACAUCCACAGAAGAAUCCAGAGAUGGAUUUGUGCCUUCGGGAACUGUGAGACAGGUGCUGCAUGGCUGUCGUCAGCUCGUGUUGUGAAAUGUUGGGUUAAGUCCCGCAACGAGCGCAACCCUUAUCCUUUGUUGCCAGCGGUCCGGCCGGGAACUCAAAGGAGACUGCCAGUGAUAAACUGGAGGAAGGUGGGGAUGACGUCAAGUCAUCAUGGCCCUUACGACCAGGGCUACACACGUGCUACAAUGGCGCAUACAAAGAGAAGCGACCUCGCGAGAGCAAGCGGACCUCAUAAAGUGCGUCGUAGUCCGGAUUGGAGUCUGCAACUCGACUCCAUGAAGUCGGAAUCGCUAGUAAUCGUGGAUCAGAAUGCCACGGUGAAUACGUUCCCGGGCCUUGUACACACCGCCCGUCACACCAUGGGAGUGGGUUGCAAAAGAAGUAGGUAGCUUAACCUUCGGGAGGGCGCUUACCACUUUGUGAUUCAUGACUGGGGUGAAGUCGUAACAAGGUAACCGUAGGGGAACCUGCGGUUGGAUCACCA